UACGUAGGGGGCAAGCGUUGUCCGGAAUUACUGGGCGUAAAGCGCGCGUAGGCGGCUUAGCAAGUUAGAGGUGAAAGCCCGAAGCUCAACUUCGGAAUUGCCUUUAAAACUGCAAAGCUAGAAUCAUGGAGAGGUGAGUGGAAUUCCGAGUGUAGAGGUGAAAUUCGUAGAGAUGCACUAGAACACCGGUGGCGAAGGCGAUCUUCUGGAGCGGUACUGACGCUAAGGCGCGAAAGCGUGGGGAGCAAACAGG
rnacentral:rRNA from 1 species